UACAGAGGGUGCGAGCGUUAAUCGGAAUUACUGGGCGUAAAGCGCGCGUAGGCGGCUUUGCAAGUCGAGUGUGAAAUCCCCAGGCUUAACCUGGGAACUGCAUUUGAGACUGCAUGGCUAGAGUAUGGGAGAGGGAAGUGGAAUUUCAGGUGUAGCGGUGAAAUGCGUAGAUAUCUGAAGGAACAUCAGUGGCGAAAGCGACUUCCUGGACCAAUACUGACGCUCAUGUGCGAAAGCGUGGGGAGCAAACAGG
rnacentral:rRNA from 1 species